rnacentral:lncRNA from 1 species
CUAAGAUCAACCUGUACUCCAGCUGUUGUGCAUAUUUUUAUGUGACUCUGCAUUUUCCUUGGAAAUUAAGAUGGACUCAAAAAGAAACCACCCUUUCCAAAAGAGGCAGUUUGCUUUUCAAUAUGUUGCAUAACAGAUGCUCCAAAGGAAGUGAGGGAGAGGAGUAAGCCCAGGAAGAGACUACCCUGCAAAGUCCUAGGACCCCAGACCAGCAGGGGAGAAGCUGAAGUGUUUAAUAACCUACUUCGAGGCUCGCUCGAGGAAGGGCUCAACCAAGGAGAGGAUCUUGUAGGCAGUGACCCUGAAGCAGAAUGAACCUGAGUGACCUUUUGCCAAGAAUUUGGCAGAGGACACUGAACUGCACGAGAGGCAUAACCCA